GAGUUUGAUCAUGGCUCAGAUUGAACGCUGGCGGCAUGCCUUACACAUGCAAGUCGAACGGCAGCACGGGAGCUUGCUCCUGGUGGCGAGUGGCGAACGGGUGAGUAAUGCCUAGGAAUCUGCCUGGUAGUGGGGGGACAACGUUUCGAAAGGAACGCUAAUACCGCAUACGUCCUACGGGAGAAAGCAGGGGACCUUCGGCCGUUGCGCUAUCAGAUGAGCCUAGGUCGGA
rnacentral:rRNA from 1 species